AGUGAACGCUGGCGGUAGGCCUAACACAUGCAAGUCGAACGGCAGCACAGUAAGAGCUUGCUCUUACGGGUGGCGAGUGGCGGACGGGUGAGGAAUACAUCGGAAUCUACUUUUUCGUGGGGGAUAACGUAGGGAAACUUACGCUAAUACCGCAUACGACCUACGGGUGAAAGCAGGGGAUCUUCGGACCUUGCGCGAUUGAAUGAGCCGAUGUCGGAUUAGCUAGUUGGCGGGGAAAAGGCCCACCAAGGCGAGGAUCCGUAGCUGGUCUGAGAGGAUGAUCAGCCACACUGGAACUGAGACACGGUCCAGCCUCCUCCGGGAGGCAGCAUUGGGGAAUAUUGGACAAUGGGCGCAAGCCUGAUCCAGCCAUACCGCGUGGGUGAAGAAGGCUUUCGGGUUGUAAAGCCCUUUUGUUGGGAAAGAAAAGCAGCAGGUUAAUACCCCGCUGUUCUGACGGUACCCAAAGAAUAAGCACCGGCUAACUUCGUG
rnacentral:rRNA from 1 species